AUGCCUGAGUGGCCUAGUCUUGAUGAUAUUAUUUCUAGCAUGAUUGAGGAGGAGACUCGUUUGGCACAACCGAAGGAGGAGGGUCAGGAGCGUGCAGAUGCUCAUGCUGCAUUAUCCAUACAACCACGCCGUGCUACAAAUUCCUUUGGUAAGGUCGAUAAAAGCAAGUUGCUUUGUGACCAUUGCAACAGAAAAGGACACACCAAGGGUGAUUGUUUUGAGUUGCAUGGUUAUCCACCUUGGUGGGAUAAAGGGAGAUGUCAGCUAGGGGGGAGCUCGGGGUUCAAACAAAAGACAAGCUAA
rnacentral:rRNA from 1 species